rnacentral:rRNA from 1 species
CAAUAGCGUAUAUUAAAGUUGUUGCAGUUAAAAAGCUCGUAGUUGGAUUUCGGGGCAGCCUGGCUGGUCCGCCGCAAGGCGAGUACUGGUCAGCCGCCCUUCCUCUCGAAAGCCCCGACUGCUCUUUAUUGCAGUGGUCGGGUAGCUCGGGACGUUUACUUUGAAAAAAUUAGAGUGUUCAAGGCAGGCCUACGCCUGAAUACAUUAGCAUGGAAUAAUGGAAGAGGACCUCGGUCCUAUUUUGUUGGUUUCCAGGACCGAAGUAAUGAUUAAGAGGGACAGUUGGGGGCAUUCGUAUUUAAUUGUCAGAGGUGAAAUUCUCGGAUUUAUGAAAGACGAACAACUGCGAAAGCAUUUGCCAAGGAUGUUUUCAUUAA